rnacentral:lncRNA from 1 species
CUGGAGCAGCUGUAACUUUUCAUGGGCUCCACAGUUCAGUGAGGGGUGGCAGCAUUCCCAGACAACUCCUGUGUAUUAAUUAUACAUAUAUUUGAGUGCCAAUUGCACCCCAAAUCCAGACUUCCUGGUGCCAGACAACUUGUUCAUUCCCCAAUCAAGUCCACUUUCUCAUGCUUACUCUAUGAAAAGGGCACCCAUGAUAGGGUCGGGGUCCCCCCUCUAGAAUGCAGACCCACACUGGGACCCAAGACCUCCUUACUUGAGAACAGAGAUCUCCCCAGGCUGCCCUCUUGGAAGAACAGAGGGCAGAAGCCUUACUGAGCCAAAUGUCCUGGUAUCUGGAGAAGGGCAAGCGCAACAUCUCAUUUUGAGAGGGGACAAGUGGAGAUAUCCCUGGUUUGGUCAGCUGAACUUGAAGACCAAAGCCAAGAGUAACUCAUUCAAUGCUGGUUACUCAGUGACCCAGGUUCCAAGCAAGUCUCUCACAAAGCUUUAAUGAGUACCUGCCCCUAGAGUAAAGUAAUGAAGACAAUACCAAGUGCUGUAUGGGUCAUGCCUCACUUAACAACAGGGAUAUGAUCUGAGAAAUACAUCUUUAGGCGAUUUUGCCAUUGUAGGGACAUCAUAGAGUACAUUUUCAUAAAUCUAGAUGGUAUGGCCUACCACACACUUAGGCUAUAUGGUCUAGCCUAUUGUUCCUAGGCUCUAAACCUGUGCAGCAUAUUACUACACUGAAUGCUGUAGGCAAUGAUAACAUAACGAAUACCUGCCGGACCCUCGUGGAAUGCCUUGAACCUAUUAUCAGAUGGAGUACUAGUGGCACCUGGGAGAAGUGGGUGAGUAUCAGGUGUGGCUGAAGCCUGCAGAGCUCCUGUGGGGCCACUGAGUGGAAGCACCUGUUCCCAGGCUAAUGAAGCUUUUGCUCAAAGCACUAGUUUGUCUGCCACUGGAUAUUUUAGUCGGUCUACAGAGAAUCAACCCAAGAGUCCUCCGUCCAGUAUAAGAAAAAGAGAGGGAAACAGUGCCCCGUUAGACCAAUGUGUCAAUGGUAGGAUCAGACAUAGAUCCCAAAGGAAGUGAGUCUUGGGUGAAAGCCAAGGCCGUAUGGACCACCCAGUGCCAACUCUGAGGUUCUGAACUUUAUUUUUACUAAGAAAAGGGCAAUUUCCUCACAGCACUAGGCAAAAAUGGAAAGCUAUCCUGGCACACAAGUAUAGAAUGCCACCAGAGACAAGCAGCUGGAAGAAAAAGCCAGGCCACCAGCAACAGAGACAAAGAACUGUGAGCUUGAGAGGCUAUGGCAGAUGGUGAGGGAAGGACAGUGAGGGAGAAAGAGACUCAGAUGCAGCAGAGGCUCAGUGGCUAGACUUAGGACCCAGCCAGGGCUUAUUGCAAAAUAAGCACUUGGUAACUUUUUAUAUCUUUGCCUUGGCAACCAGGAAACUCAAAGUUAAAUUUUAUGCUUCAUUUA